ACUCCGACACAGCGGAGCCUAGGAGGAGAGCCCCGAGCUAAAGAUUUGUAGGGCUUAUAAAGGCAAAUAACCAGGUGUUUGGAUCACCACCAUGUGUUGCUAAUUGCUAAACAGAAACAAGAAA